UCACUAAGACGGUGUUUCCUCAUGGUGAA
rnacentral:piRNA from 1 species